UACGUAGGGGGCUAGCGUUGUCCGGAAUCAUUGGGCGUAAAGAGCGUGUAGGCGGCCCGGUAAGUCCGCUGUAAAAGUCAAAGGCUCAACCUUUGAAUGUCAGUGGAUACUGCCGGGCUAGAGUCCGGAAGAGGCGAGUGGAACUCCUGGUGUAGCGGUGGAAUGCGCAGAUAUCAGGAGGAACACCGGUGGCGAAGGCGGAUUUCUGGGCCUUACCUGACGCUGAGACGCGAAAGCGUGGGGAGGCGAACAGG
rnacentral:rRNA from 1 species